AUGAACGCUAGCUACAGGCUUAACACAUGCAAGUCGAGGGGCAGCAUUUUAGUUUGCUUGCAAACUAAAGAUGGCGACCGGCGCACGGGUGAGUAACACGUAUCCAACCUGCCGAUAACUCCGGAAUAGCCUUUCGAAAGAAAGAUUAAUACCGGAUAGCAUACGAAUAUCGCAUGAUAUUUUUAUUAAAGAAUUUCGGUUAUCGAUGGGGAUGCGUUCCAUUAGUUUGUUGGCGGGGUAACGGCCCACCAAGACUACGAUGGAUAGGGGUUCUGAGAGGAAGGUCCCCCACAUUGGAACUGAGACACGGUCCAAACUCCUACGGGAGGCAGCAGUGAGGAAUAUUGGUCAAUGGGCGAGAGCCUGAACCAGCCAAGUAGCGUGAAGGAUGAAGGCUCUAUGGGUCGUAAACUUCUUUUAUAUGGGAAUAAAGUUUUCCACGUGUGGAAUUUUGUAUGUACCAUAUGAAUAAGGAUCGGCUAACUCCGUGCCAGCAGCCGCGGUAAUACGGAGGAUCCGAGCGUUAUCCGGAUUUAUUGGGUUUAAAGGGAGCGUAGGUGGAUUGUUAAGUCAGUUGUGAAAGUUUGCGGCUCAACCGUAAAAUUGCAGUUGAAACUGGCAGUCUUGAGUACAGUAGAGGUGGGCGGAAUUCGUGGUGUAGCGGUGAAAUGCUUAGAUAUCACGAAGAACUCCGAUUGCGAAGGCAGCUCACUAGACUGUCACUGACACUGAUGCUCGAAAGUGUGGGUAUCAAACAGGAUUAGAUACCCUGGUAGUCCACACAGUAAACGAUGAAUACUCGCUGUUUGCGAUAUACAGUAAGCGGCCAAGCGAAAGCAUUAAGUAUUCCACCUGGGGAGUACGCCGGCAACGGUGAAACUCAAAGGAAUUGACGGGGGCCCGCACAAGCGGAGGAACAUGUGGUUUAAUUCGAUGAUACGCGAGGAACCUUACCCGGGCUUAAACUGCAACAGAAUAUAUUGGAAACAGUAUAGCCGUAAGGCUGUUGUGAAGGUGCUGCAUGGUUGUCGUCAGCUCGUGCCGUGAGGUGUCGGCUUAAGUGCCAUAACGAGCGCAACCCUUAUCUUUAGUUACUAACAGGUCAUGCUGAGGACUCUAGAGAGACUGCCGUCGUAAGAUGUGAGGAAGGUGGGGAUGACGUCAAAUCAGCACGGCCCUUACGUCCGGGGCUACACACGUGUUACAAUGGGGGGUACAGAAGGCGGCUACCUGGUGACAGGAUGCUAAUCCCAAAAACCUCUCUCAGUUCGGAUCGAAGUCUGCAACCCGACUUCGUGAAGCUGGAUUCGCUAGUAAUCGCGCAUCAGCCAUGGCGCGGUGAAUACGUUCCCGGGCCUUGUACACACCGCCCGUCAAGCCAUGAAAGCCGGGGGUACCUGAAGUACGUAACCGCAAGGAGCGUCCUAGGGUAAAACUGGUAAUUGGGGCU
rnacentral:rRNA from 1 species